rnacentral:rRNA from 1 species
CCUACGGGUGGCAGCAGUGAGGAAUAUUGGUCAAUGGACGAGAGUCUGAACCAGCCAAGUAGCGUGAAGGAUGACUGCCCUAUGGGUUGUAAACUUCUUUUAUAUGGGAAUAAAAUGUUCCACGUGUGGGAUUUUGUAUGUACCAUAUGAAUAAGGAUCGGCUAACUCCGUGCCAGCAGCCGCGGUAAUACGGAGGAUCCGAGCGUUAUCCGGAUUUAUUGGGUUUAAAGGGAGCGUAGGUGGAUUGUUAAGUCAGUUGUGAAAGUUUGCGGCUUAACCGUAAAAUUGCAGUUGAAACUGGCAGUCUUGAGGACAGUAGAGGUGGGCGGAAUUCGUGGUGUAGCGGUGAAAUGCUUAGAUAUCACGAAGAACUCCGAUUGCGAAGGCAGUUCACUGGACUGCAACUGACACUGAGGCUCGAAAGUGUGGGUAUCAAACAGGAUUAGAUACCCGAGUGUC